rnacentral:lncRNA from 1 species
CUUGGCGUUCAAGUAGAAGUCAUAAUACCAGGUUACUGCAGCCGUAAUCGCGAGAGGCUGGAUAGGUGCGGCCAUCUGGCGGCGCAAAGGAAAACCUGGCAAGCACAGAAUUGUUAUUGUAGAAACCUAACGUAUUCUAUUUCUCCGCUGGCAUGCAUUCACUAUACCGAUAUUCCAUAGACCCAUUUGUGUAUACCGGAAUGCCAUGAACGUUAACAUUCUCUAAUAUAGCUAAUUGGGACACACCAGCGAGCAUGGCCCAAGUGUGCAUC